rnacentral:rRNA from 1 species
UACGGGGGGGGCAAGCGUUGUUCGGAAUUACUGGGCGUAAAGGGCUCGUAGGCGGCCAACUAAGUCAGACGUGAAAUCCCUCGGCUUAACCGGGGAACUGCAUCUGAUACUGGAUGGCUUGAGAUUGGGAGAGGGAUGCGGAAUUCCAGGUGUAGCGGUGAAAUGCGUAGAUAUCUGGAGGAACACCGGUGGCGAAGGCGGCAUCCUGGACUGGUCCUGACGCUCAGGAGCGAAAGCGUGGGGAGCGAUCCGG